rnacentral:rRNA from 1 species
AUUGAACGCUGGCGGCAUGCUUUACACAUGCAAGUCGAACGGUAACAGGCCGCAAGGUGCUGACGAGUGGCGAACGGGUGAGUAAUGCAUCGGAACGUGCCCAGUCGUGGGGGAUAACUACUCGAAAGAGUAGCUAAUACCCCAUACGAUCUAUGGAUGAAAGCGGGGGACCGUAAGGCCUCGCGCGAUUGGAGCGGCCGAUGUCAGAUUAGGUAGUUGGUGGGGUAAAGGCUCACCAAGCCAACGAUCUGUAGCUGGUCUGAGAGGACGACCAGCCACACUGGGACUGAGACACGGCCCAGACUCCUACGGGAGGCAGCAGUGGGGAAUUUUGGACAAUGGGCGCAAGCCUGAUCCAGCAAUGCCGCGUGCAGGAAGAAGGCCUUCGGGUUGUAAACUGCUUUUGUACGGAACGAAACGGCUCUGGUUAAUACCCGGGGCUAAUGACGGCACCGUAAGAAUAAGCACCGGCUAACUACGUG